UGAAGGCGGCGGACUUCAAACCCGAUGCUAUCU
rnacentral:tRNA from 18 species